rnacentral:tRNA from 1 species
GGAGAGAUGGCUGAGUGGUUGAAAGCACCGGUCUUGAAAACCGGCAUACGUUAAUAGCGUAUCUGGGGUUCAAAUCGCUAUCUCUCGGCCA